rnacentral:rRNA from 1 species
GACGAACGCUGGCGGCGUGCUUAACACAUGCAAGUCGAACGAAGUGGCGAACGGGUGAGUAACGCGUAAUCAACCUGCCCUUCAGAGGGGGACAACAGUUGGAAACGACUGCUAAUACCGCAUACUGAAGGAGGGGAUUGCGUCUGAUUAGCUAGUAGGUAAGGUAAUGGCUUACCUAGGCGACGAUCCCUAGCUGGUCUGGGAGGUUGAUCAGCCACACUGGGACUGAGACACGGCCCAGACUCCUACGGGAGGCAGCAGUGGGGAAUAUUGCACAAUGGGCGCAAGCCUGAUGCAGCCAUGCCGCGUGCGGGACGAAGGCCUUCGGGUUGUAAACCGCUUUCAGCAGGGACGCGGUACCGGAAUAGAAAGCCACGGCUAACUACGUGCCAGCAGCCGCGGUAAUUC